GGUCCCGUGGUGUAGCGGUUAGCACUCAGGACUCUGAAUCCUGCGACCGGAGUUCAAAUCUCCCCGGGACCU
rfam:Haemonchus contortus, ISE/inbred ISE, WGS project CAVP01000000 data, contig: Hcontortus_contig_pathogens_Hcontortus_scaffold_10155